AUACGGAGGAUCCGAGCGUUAUCCGGAUUUAUUGGGUUUAAAGGGAGCGUAGGCGGACGCUUAAGUCAGUUGUGAAAGUUUGCGGCUCAACCGUAAAAUUGCAGUUGAUACUGGGUGUCUUGAGUACAGUAGAGGCAGGCGGAAUUCGUGGUGUAGCGGUGAAAUGCUUAGAUAUCACGAAGAACUCCGAUUGCGAAGGCAGCCUGCUGGACUGUAACUGACGCUGAUGCUCGAAAGUGUGGGUAGCAAACAGGAUUAGAUACCCUGGUAGUCCACACAGUAAACGAUGAAUACUCGCUGUUUGCGAUAUACAGUAAGCGGCCAAGCGAAAGCGUUAAGUAUUCCACCUGUGGAGUACGCCGGCAACGGUGAAACUCAAAGGAAUUGACGGGG
rnacentral:rRNA from 1 species